rnacentral:misc_RNA from 1 species
GUCAGGGAAUUAAAGGCUUACGUGAUGCAAUUGCCUCUGGCAUUGCUGCCCGUGAUGGUUUUCCUGCCAAUGCGGAUGACAUUUUCUUAACCGAUGGAGCAAGCCCAGGAGUGCACAUGAUGAUGCAAUUAUUGUUACGGUCAGAAGAAGAUGGCAUUCUCUGCCCAAUCCCUCAAUACCCAUUGUACUCUGCCUCAAUUGCUCUCCAUGGUGGCUCACUUAUCCCGUACUACCUCAACGAAGAGACAGGAUGGGGAUUGGAGAUAUCUGAGGUUAAGAAACAAUUGGAAUCUGCUCGGUCCAAGGGAAUUACUGUUAGGGCACUGGUCGUGAUUAAUCCA